rnacentral:lncRNA from 1 species
UAAAAGUAAAUAUUUAAAAACUAGAUAACAUUUAGCAGCAUAAAAUUAAAGUAUCAUCUAUCAGGUACACUGGACCCAAGAAGCCUGCUAUGAGGCAGGACUGAGCAAAGAGUGGUCAUGUAGAAACUGGAGCUGAGAAAUCACUGACUCCUGAGGAGGAGCAGAGGGGAGGACCAAAGGGAGAACACUGCUCUACUUCCUCAUUACCAGCCCAUUUUAAGACAGAUAAUCAUUGGGAAACAGGAAAUGAUGAUAAUAAGACAUUGGAGAACUGAAAAGUUCCUGAGAAAAGAAAGGAAAGAAAGUUGAUUGAGGAUUAAAUGGUAUUUAUCUGACAUGAGGGUUGAAUACUCUUCAUAGGAGUCUUCUGGAAAAAGAAGCACAAGAUGAAAAAAUGCUGCCACAGCAUGGCUUGAUGAGCUGUGUGUAGGUCCAUGCCCAGGAUCCAAACCUGUGAACCCUGGGCUGCCAAAGUGGAGCAUGCGAACUUAACCACUAUGCAACUGGGCCAGCCCUGGCAAGUGUUAAUUUUUAUCAAAGACCUACAGCAUAGUUUCACAUGAAGGAAGUCGUUGCCUCUUGUGAUGGAUUUAAAGAUAUAUCCACAAAUUACUUGAUACUCCUCCUCUCAAGUGGUGGAGCUUAAUUUCCUUCUCCCUGAGUGUGAACUAGACUCCACUUCCAGUGAACAGAACAGGGUAGAAGUGAUGGAGCGUUAUUUCUGACAAGAUCGUGACUUCCAUGCUGGCUGUGCUGUCUCACUCUGUGGAGCCAUACCUUUCUCUGGGGGAAGCCAGCCGACCUGUCAUAGGGCAGCCUGGGGACAGUGAACCUAGUUGACAUGUUGUGAAAACACUCAGCAUAUGAAGUGGUCCAUGUGGUAAGGAACUGAGGUCUGCCAGCCACCAUGAGUGUGUGUGGAAACAGAUUUUCCUGUGUUGAGCCUUGAGAUGACUACAGUCCUGGCUGACAGCUUGACUGCCACCUCCUGAGAGACCGUGAGCCAUAACCACCCAGCCAAGAUGCUCCUGGACAUCUAACCCACAGAAACUGUGAUAUAAUAGAUGUUUGCUGUUUUAAGCUGCAAUGUUUGGGGCAAUUUGUUGCAUAGUGACAAAUAAGCACAUCACCCCAUGUUAAUAUCUUGCCUCUUUUAAAGCAACGAGUCUUGCAAAGGACUCAAAGAAACAACUCUUGCAUUAAGGAAAACAUACCUAGUUCCUCAGCCUGGCUUAUAUCAUUAGAGUCACCAUUCAGGAUGUAGUUUUUGUUGUUAUGUAUGAUAGAUGUUACAAACUCAAGAAUAGAUUAUAUUUUAUUUCUUCUAAUAAACGAGCAGAUGUGGGGCUUCCCAGAUUACUCCAGCACAAAUUUUAUCCAUCAAGAGGAGACUGUGCUGUGCAGAAAAACAUUUUACAGAAGAACUUAAAAUUGAAGGUAAGUAAUAAGGAAGAAGGAGAACCCACAUAACUUCAAAUAUACUCAAGUGCCCAGAGUCAGAUGUAUUGCAUCUUUGAUUAUAGGGAACUUGUAAAUGUGAUCUUAAAGUUAGAAAUUUUUGAGACAAGGAAGUUGCAUGAGAGAUAGGAGCAUAAAGACAAGCUUUUAGAACUCCUACCCCAUCCAAACUGAACAAAAUAACAUAAGAGAAAGGUUAAACAAACAAAAAAAAGAGUCAGAGGAUGAUCAGAGCUGAAACUGUAGGAGAGGUGUUGAUUGUUGGCCAGCCUGUCAGCAUCUUUUCUUGCGGGAACUACUUUAGUUCUUCUCAUCCCAUUAGAGCUUCUAGCCGUAGUUGCCCAAACCCAAGGCCACUGGGGUUGGCGUAUGAUCCAUUCUGGGC